AAAAAUUUUUCAUCAAAAUGCAUAUUCAUAUAUGAUAAAACGUUAUAAAUGUUAUUUCUUUAUCUUUACUUGAUCUGGUUCAUAUAUUACGAUAAAUAAUUUAGGACCUAUCCAUAAUUGGAAUGGAGAUGAAUACUUUUUGCAGAUCCGCAUAAGAAUAUUUAGAAAGUCUAAAAAGAUUUGAAAUGUUAGAAAUAUUAUAUUGUAGUCUUAAAAUUAUUUGCAAUUUAUUAUAUUGUUUAAAGUUUUGAUUACAUUUAGAUAGAUAGUUUUAAUAAGGUUCAACAUAGCUUAACUUGAAACAUGGUUUAAUUUACUCUCUAACUUUUUCUAACUCUUAGGACUAAAAAAAAAAAAAUAGAAAGUGAGUUUUAAGUUAAUUUAUAUUGGUGUAAAUAAACUUUAGAUACAUAUAUUGUGCAAUAUAUGCGACUUUCGCAUACAUUAUAAUAAACUAUUUUAUUCGGAAAUUAUUUCCCUCCCAAAUGUUUCAAACACUAUCCAGUCAUGUAUGACUGCCUGUUGACGGUACUUCAUACAUUUUUCUACAUCAAAAAUUUGAAGAUUUUCUAAAUAUUCUCAUACGGAUCUGUAAAAAAUAUUCAUUUCUAUUCCAACUAUGGAUAGAUCCUAAAUUAAUCAUCGUAAUAUAUGAACCAAAUCAAGUAAAGAUAAAAGUAUAUAAAGAGUUGUUGGAAAUUUAUGGCCCGAAAACUUCAAAGGCUGCACCAGUUAAAGGAUUUACAACAUAUGAAUUAUUUGGAACGCGUUAUUAAGGAAACUUUAAGAAUUUUGUUCUGCUGUUCCUGUAAUUGCACGACAAGUGAUGGAAGACUUCAAAAUAGACCCACUUGUUACAGGCUUGAACUUAGGUAUGUAAGGUGCGAUCAUCACAGCAAGUGCGAAGGACGAGACAGUCGUUAACCAAGCGUCGAACAAGACAAUCGAUCGAACGAGUGUUAAAUCAAAAUAAAAUAAGAGCAGAUCCACUAACAAAUGUGACAACGAGUAAGCAUCUAGAAGAAUCUCCGAAAUCCUGUAAUCAUGAAAUAUCGAAAUACAUUCAAAUUGAUUAAAGAA